UGGGUUGUAUUGAAAAGCAAACUGAGCAAGUCAGUAAGUAGUGUGUCUCCUCGCCUUCUGUUUCCGUUUCUGCCUAGAGUUCCCUUUCAUGAUAGAUUACCACUGUAAGCUGAAACGAACCCUUUCCAAGUUUCUGUUGGUUAUGGUGUUUAUCACAGCAAGAAAAGCAAACUAGAACAGUUAUAGCGGCAGGAGGAGAAUUAAAAUACAAAGUGCAGGGAAACAGGCCAGCAGGGAGGGCUGGGAGAAAAGAAAGGUCCCGAUUCCUGGAUAAACAUGAUGCUCAUUACCAGCCUUCAUCUUAUCUCUUGAAAUGAUAGGCCUUUGGUAAGACUGUCUUCACACCUGCCAGGGUGGGAUCUCCAGUAGAAGAUCAGUAGCACAGAAAGCAUACUUGUCCUACUUCCCGGUGGUUUGCCUGAAAUGGUAAGAUAGUUUAGAAGUCUUGGUGCAUAAACAUGUAACCUUUGUUCCAUGGGAAGACUCCAUGGGGAGACUUUGCUACACAGGACUUCUGAAGAUGUCUAUUCUUACGCCAUGCUGUCUGUGAAGCCAAGGAGAGCCUGGCAGGGAACUCCAUUGUAGUUUACCUCCUCUUUAUUUCCUGCCUCAACUUUUUCCCCUUCACUUGCUUUCAUAAGACUGUACAACUCACAGUGUAUUAGCAUAUAAACUAUCUGUUCAAGUCUCUGAUUCUAGGCAAAGGCACUUUUCCAAGAAAAUAUAGCAGUUACAUUCCCAACCCAAUCAUUAUUACACAUCCCUUGUGGAAGGUUCCAAAUUAUUGGCUUCCUGGCAUGGUGCCUAUGAAAUGUUCUCGGAAAACCUGCUAAACCCGAAUCUAAUCAAACCUUUACACUUCAUUUGAAGGGUGAUACUACUUAGACAUAACACUGGAAAGCAACAGAUAAGUCAGGAAUAUGCAGCCUUCUUUUCCGUGCCAUAUGUCAAAAACAUAGAAGAAUUAUGGGGGGAGAUUUUUCCAGAUUAACCUCCAACUGGAAUCCUCAGAACUUGGUUGCAUUAUAGAUGAAUGUUCCAUUAAAAUCUUUAGAAAACCAUUAUAAAAAUUUUAAAAUGACUUAGAGAGACUGGUAAGAUGGCUCAGAGGGUAGAGGAGCUUGCCACCGUGCCUGAGAACCUAAGCUGGAUUUCUGAAACCUACACAUUGGGAAAAAACGGACUUCUUUGGAUUGUCAUCUUCACAUGCACUAUGGCACAAGUGCCAUGCACACACACAGAUAAAUGUAAUUUUUAGUGACUUGUGUAUUAGUUGUGGUUACUAAUAGAAUAAUUGCUGAGUUCCUUUGAUGUGAUAGUAGUAUAUCAUUCUGCAAAAGAUUGCCUUUAUCAGGUGGUUCAUACUGAAGGGUUUGAGCAAUCAUUAUGCUUUCUCUACUAUAUAUUCUCAAAAAAUAUUUAUAUCUUUGUGUUUAUGGAAGAAAAAAAGAAUUUACAUUUUGUAAAAUAUUGGCAUUAUUGAAUGUAAGUUGAAGGCAUUUAUAUUCCAGUCUGUUGACACCUAAGUGCUUAAAACUUUUCAUAGUCAAAAGUAAUAAGGCAAAUGCCAUGGGAAAAGUGGGUCAAAGUUAGGAUAUACCCCUGUAAGAAAUGUGUUAAGCAUCUUCUUUUCUUCAGCCAGUGUCGUGUUAGCAGCCAAUAUGUGAUCAAAGGCUAGCUUAUGUACCUCAAAGUGGAUAUUCAAACCCAAAUUGCUAUCCUCUCAAGAUUCUUUUACCUUUCCUAUCUCUGGAAGUUAGCCAGGUAGCGGGGAAAAAUCAGUGUCAUUUCUGCACAUACAAAUUCUUGUUGGCAGAAUAGUCAGCAAGUAGUUCAGAGAGUUAUUUCUCAUAUAAAGCUUCAUUCAGUUUGCAGAAGUUGGAGGCAGUGAAGCUUUUUAGAGAAAUUAUUCUUUAGAGAUAGAUUUCAGUUGAUGGUGCAGCCUCUUAGUGACAGACAUGGAUUAAGUAAUAUUCUUAAAUGCACUUCUUUCAGGCUUCUGAUGUUAGCACUACAGUUUUAUUCAAUGUGUAAACUUCCCCAACCUGGUUUGUUAAUUUUUUAUUUUGACCUGGUUUUCUAUCAUUUACCUGGCCUCAAUCCCCAAGAUUCCUCCAGGCAAAUAUACUCCUGCUUUGUCAGUGAACAUUUGACUGACCAAUCUGGAUUCUUCCCCUAUCACACAUGGAAAGCCUGCUGUUACAGUUAUGAAACCAGCCUGGCUAUCUAUGCUCUCAACACCAAACGAUCUUCUCCCAGAAUUGUUUCUGUUUGUGUUGGGAGCAGCUUCCCUCAUGGCUGUUAGUGCUUAUAGUUCACAAAUGUUCAUUCUUCCCAGGUAUAAUAACCUUGUAAUCAGAGGCUGAGCUCAUGGAAAGCAGCCUCCAAAUCUUAGUGGCUUAUUUAAAAAAAAAAAAAAGAUACUCAGUAGUCCCAUGUCAGCAGAAGCAGCACUGCUCCAGGCUAUGGACCAAUUUUGAGUUGUCUCAUUUACCUCUGAUUGUCUCCACCAAUGGCUACCCAACUGAGAUUCAACUCAUGAAGGAUGGCAGGAGUGCCAGUGGCAAGCAGAAACAAAAUCCUUGGAUCACAUCAAGGUCUUAGCUCAAAACUGACCUGCUAUCACUUCUGCUCACGUUCCAUGGGCCAGAGCCCAACAUCAGCAAGCAACCCAGCCUCUUCUGACUAGUAUGGAGGUCGGUGACUGUCUUAUAAGCCGAGGUUGUGACCCUCCUCGUUCCCCCGAAUAACGUGACCUGCAGGCCAGGUCAAUGAUAUUUGUCUUCUGUCCUGUGCUCCUGACUGACUAACUGAUGCGACAUAAUAGAGACUGGAAUGAACUCCAGGGCACAUCCUAAUUUCUCCUAACUGCAUCAGCCAUGAUGGGACAGUCAACUUCAAGUUAAGUUGAAGACUUGUGAGGACAAGAACAACUCAGAACAUGCCCUUUCAAAAGUUCACCAGUGUGUGUUAGUGUACUACUCUAUUUUCUGUUGCUACCACAAGGUACUUGAUGCUGAGUACAUUAUAACGCAGUUUAUUUGGCCCAUAAUUUUAGCAGCUGAAUCGUUCUAAACAGCAUUGUGCCAAGUUCUACUGAAUAUUACUUGGCUGCAUCACAGCAUGGCAGAGAACCUGAAAGCGAAUCAGCCAUGUGUAGAAGGAAUAAAGUGCUUUGUGAAUGUGA